AACGAACGCUGGCGGCAUGCCUAACACAUGCAAGUCGAACGAGACCUUCGGGUCUAGUGGCGCACGGGUGCGUAACGCGUGGGAACCUGCCCUUAGGUUCGGAAUAACCCCCCGAAAGGGGUGCUAAUACCGGAUAAUGUCUUCGGACCAAAGAUUUAUCGCCUUUGGAUGGGCCCGCGUUGGAUUAGCUAGUUGGUAGGGUAAUAGCCUACCAAGGCGACGAUCCAUAGCUGGUCUGAGAGGAUGAUCAGCCACACUGGGACUGAGACACGGCCCAGACUCCUACGGGAGGCAGCAGUGGGGAAUAUUGGACAAUGGGCGAAAGCCUGAUCCAGCAAUGCCGCGUGAGUGAUGAAGGCCUUAGGGUUGUAAAGCUCUUUUACCCGGGAUGAUAAUGACAGUACCGGGAGAAUAAGCUCCGGCUAACUCCGUG
rnacentral:rRNA from 1 species